UACGAAGGUGGCAAGCGUUGUUCGGAUUUACUGGGCGUAAAGGGAGCGUAGGUGGUUAGGUAAGCCCUCCGGGAAAUCUUCAGGCUUAACCUGAAAAGGUCGGGGGGGACUGCCUAGCUAGAGGGCGGGAGAGGAGCGCGGAAUUCCCGGUGUAGCGGUGAAAUGCGUAGAGAUCGGAAGGAACACCUGUGGCGAAAGCGGCUCACUGGACCAUUACUGACGCUGAGGCACGAAAGCUAGGGGAGCAAACAGG
rnacentral:rRNA from 1 species